ACACCCAAAGGGGCAAGGUAUUUCAGAAUACAUAAGAGAGUUCAGUCACAAAAGAAAAUAGCAAAGUCUAGCUAGCCUGCUCUAUACUUACAGACCUAAAAGACUUGCAGAUGAACAGCCUUCUCCCCUCAGAGAGACAUGGGUCAGGAUAGCGGAUGGUAAAGCGGAUCCUAAUCGAGUCACAUCAGGGAGAAGAACUCGCCCUGCGUGAGGAGCAGAUGGGAGUCUGCCACAUCCAAGAUCAGCUCUGACUCUAUCUGAAGAAGACUUUCUGCUAAUUUCCUUCUGGCCUUCCAUAUAAUGUCCGAGGGGUUUUUACCACAAGAUGCCAUGGCUUCCAAACAGAUAUUAAGCACAGAACCUACCUUCUGUUUCCUGUGAGAUCAGCUUCCGCUAGUCUGAUGCUUUGUGCCUAUCCCUUUCUGGUAAACUAAGACUCUAGAGAUCAGAGGAAACGAAACUGAAAAGCAUUCUCCUCUCACCCCAUCCCUUGUAAACACACAUGCAGUUCCACAUAUCCAAUGCAUUGAUUUGUUCAAAAUGUCUUUGAUUUUAAAGAAUGUCAACCCUAAAUUAAGUUCACUAUUAAUAUAAAAUGCAUAUAU